rnacentral:snRNA from 1 species
GUGCUCACUUCAGUAGCACAUAUACUAAAAUUAGAAUAAUACUGAGAUUAGCACGGUCCCUGCACAAGAAUGACACAGAACUUCAUGAAGUGUUCUGUAUUUAA